GUGAACGGCGGCCGUAACUAUAACGGUCCUAAGGUAGCGAAAUUCCUUGUCGGGUAAGUUCCGACCUGCACGAAUGGCGUAACGAUGGCCAUGCUGUCUCCACCAGAGACUCAGUGAAAUUGAAUUUGCGGUGAAGAUGCCGUAUACGCGCGGCAAGACGGAAAGACCCCGUGCACCUUUACUAUAGCUUCACACUGGACUUUGAAUUUAUUUGUGUAGGAUAGGUGGGAGACUUUGAAGCGUAGGCGCUAGCUUACGUGGAGUCAUCCUUGAAAUACCACCCUAGUAGCUUUGGAGUUCUAACUUGGAUCCGUUAUCCGGAUCGAGGACAGUGUGUGGUGGGUAGUUUGACUGGGGCGGUCUCCUCCUAAAGAGUAACGGAGGAGUGCGAAGGUAACCUCAGCACGGUCGGACAUCGUGCAUUGAGUGCAAUGGCAUAAGGUUGCUUAACUGCGAGACAGACAUGUCGAGCAGAUACGAAAGUAGGUCAUAGUGAUCUGGUGGUUCUGUAUGGAAGGGCCAUCACUCAACGGAUAAAAGGUACGCCGGGGAUAACAGGCUUAUUCCCCCCAAGAGUUCACAUCGACGGGGGUGUUUGGCACCUCGAUGUCGGCUCAUCACAUCCCGGGGCUGGAGCAGGUCCCAAGGGUAUGGCUGUUCGCCAUUUAAAGUGGUACGCGAGCUGGGUUUAGAACGUCGUGAGACAGUUCGGUCCCUAUCUGCCGAGAAUUGAGAGGAGUUGCCCCUAGUACGAGAGGACCGGGGUGAACGUACCACUGGUGGACCGGUUGUAGCGCCAGCUGCAGUGCCGGGUAGCUAAGUACGGAAGGGAUAACCGCUGAAAGCAUCUAAGUGGGAAACUCGCCUCAAAACUAGUUCUUCCUAUAGAGCCGUGGUAGACUACCACGUUGAUAGGCUGGAUGUGGAAGCGCAGCAAUGCGUGUAGCUGACCAGUACUAAUAGCUCAAUUGGCUUGAUUUA
rnacentral:rRNA from 1 species